rnacentral:rRNA from 1 species
GAUUUACUUAACAAGAUGUGCGUUAACGUUGUAUAGUUAUGUGUUGAUUGUUAAGUGGUAGUGAUAUGUUUAACGUUUUUCAUGAUAGCUAGUUUAUUAUUGAGAACAUUUAAGUGUUAUUAUAUCAAAAAAUUUUUUUUGAUAUAAGUUAAUCGUAUGAGGGAUAAGCUUCAUAUGUUUGUGUAGAAUAAAGUAAAUUAAAUAAAGAUUUAAGUAGAAUUAAUAAUGUUUUUCUUUUCAAAGUAGUUUAAAUCUAGGUUUAUAAUAUUGUGUUCAUGUAAGUAUUUAAUAGAUGUUUAUUAACUUAGUAUAGAUAAUUAUAAUGUUAAUAUGAGUAUUAGUUCAAGUUUUAGAUAAUUAAAUUGUUUAUAUAAUUGUUUAAGGUAGAUAUUUAAAUUAUGAUAAAGUAAAAUAAAGGAAUUCGGCAAAUAUUAAUCUCGCCUGUUUAUCAAAAACAUGUCUCUUUGUAUAAUACAAAUAAAGAG